rnacentral:rRNA from 1 species
AACGUAGGAGGCGAGCGUUAUCCGGAUUUACUGGGUGUAAAGCGCAUGCAGGCGGUCGGCUAAGUUGGGUGUGAAAGCUCCCGGCUCAACUGGGAGAGGUUGCUCAAGACUGGCGGACUAGAGGAUGGUAAGGGAAAGCGGAAUUCCGGGUGUAGUGGUGAAAUGCGUAGAUAUCCGGAGGAACACCAGUGGCGAAGGCGGCUUUCUGGACCGUGCCUGACGCUCAGAUGCGAAAGCUAGGGUAGCAAACGGG